rnacentral:tRNA from 1 species
GUUCUUAUAAUAUAACCUGUAAUAUAUAAUAUUUUCAAUAUUAAAAUAAAGAAAUUUUAAGAAUU